UUGUCAUGACAGGGAGAAAAGCCUAUAUCUCUCCGUGCCGGAGGCUUCGGCCUUGGCUAUGGCGAUAAACGGUAGAUGAAAUAAGUGUUGUGGACCCGGGGGCAGUGCCCGGCGUCUCCACCAUCAGCCUCAGGGCUGGCGCUAUGGGGACGAAACAGGCUCGACACGCAUGGUAAAGAUCUACUUUUUGCCCGGUAUUGUUCCGCCGUCAUCGGGCUGACUUUACAAGUGCCAACGAUAACUCUGAGGUGCUCGCUGUUGCUGCAUAAGCGAUAAGCGCGGUCCGGGGGGCACCGGGCAACAGAAGCCCCCCA
rnacentral:tmRNA from 1 species